rnacentral:rRNA from 1 species
GGGGGAUAUUGCGCAAUGGGGGAAACCCUGACGCAGCAACGCCGCGUGAAGGAUGAAGGUUUUCGGAUUGUAAACUUCUUUUAUUUAGGACGAACAAUGACGGUACUAAAUGAAUAAGCUCCGGCUAACUACGUGCCAGCAGCCGCGGUAAUACGUAGGGAGCAAGCGUUAUCCGGAUUUACUGGGUGUAAAGGGUGCGUAGGCGGCUUGGUAAGUCAGAUGUGAAAUGUAUGGGCUCAACCCAUGCACUGCAUUUGAAACUAUUGAGCUUGAGUGAAGUAGAGGUAGGCGGAAUUCCCUGUGUAGCGGUGAAAUGCGUAGAGAUAGGGAGGAACACCAGUGGCGAAGGCGGCCUACUGGGCUUUAACUGACGCUGAGGCACGAAAGCGUGGGUAGCAAACAGGAUUAGAUACCCUGGUAGUCCACGCUGUAAACGAUGAUUACUAGGUGUGGGGGGUCUGACCCCUUCCGUGCCGGAGUUAACACAAUAAGUAAUCCACCUGGGGAGUACGACCGCAAGGUUGAAACUCAAAGGAAUUGACGGGGGCCCGCACAAGCAGUGGAGUAUGUGGUUUAAUUCGAAGCAACGCGAAGAACCUUACCAGGUCUUGACAUCGAGUGACGAAUCUAGAGAUAGGUUUUUCCUUCGGGACACAAAGACAGGUGGUGCAUGGUUGUCGUCAGCUCGUGUCGUGAGAUGUUGGGUUAAGUCCCGCAACGAGCGCAACCCUUGCUAUUAGUUGCUACGCAAGAGCACUCUAAUAGGACUGCCGUUGACAAAACGGAGGAAGGUGGGGACGACGUCAAAUCAUCAUGCCCCUUAUGACCUGGGCUACACACGUACUACAAUGGAUGUAAACAGAGGGAAGCAAAAUAGCGAUAUGGAGCAAACCCCAAAAAGCAUUCUCAGUUCAGAUUGCAGGCUGCAACUCGCCUGUAUGAAGUUGGAAUUGCUAGUAAUCGCGGAUCAGCAUGCCGCGGUGAAUACGUUCCCG